CCUACGGGAGGCAGCAGUGAGGAAUAUUGGUCAAUGGCCGUAAGGCUGAACCAGCCAUGCCGCGUGAAGGUCAGUGCCCUAUGGGCGUUAAACUUCUUUUGUGCGGGAGCAAUAAUGGUCACGUGUGGCCAGACGAGAGUACCGUACGAAUAAGCAUAGGCGAACUCCGUGCCAGCAGCCGCGGGAAUACGUAGGGGGCAAGCGUUCUCCGGAUUUACUGGGUGUAAAGGGAGCGUAGACGGGUUGGCAAGGCAGAUGUGAAAGGCUGGGGGUGAACCCCAGGACCGCAUUUGGAACUGUCAUGCUAGAGUGUCGGAGAGGCAGGCGGAAUUCGUGGUGUAGCGGUGAAAUGCGUAGAUAUUAGGAGGAACACCAGUGGCGAAGGCGGCCUGCUGGACGAUGACUGACGUUGAGGCUCGAAAGCGUGGGGAGCAAACAGGAUUAGAUACCCUUGUAGUC
rnacentral:rRNA from 1 species